CUAGGGCUAAGUCGUAACAAGGUAGCCGUACUGGAAGGUGCGGCUGGAACACCUCCUUUCUAGAG
rnacentral:rRNA from 1 species